AGUGCAGACUCCUGCCUUGAGGUGUUCGGGAUUCAGCUGAGUGUGCUGAGUCCCCGCACUGGGCUGUGGGGGAGACAAAGGGACCCAGAUCCAGGUCGCCUCUUUCCCGCUUUGGGACUUGGUUCCCCGGCGGGCUCGUGGGUAAAGGCACUGGGGUCCCGACGGUCCCAGCGAGUGUGGCGUCCUGCCCCAAGAGUGCCCUGGAGAUACUUUCCUUCUAAAGGCAGGGGCGCGGGAGCUCUUCAUGCCACUGGCCGAGCUCCUAUCAGGCGUUUGAAGGAGGCAGGUUCUAAGGAUUUGUAUCCUGAUGGCUGCUGAACCAUCUGCUCCAGAUUCAAGGGCGGCCGUCCUCAGGAGACCCCGACACUUCACAUCCCUGGUAGGAUAUGAGGCCCGGCCCAAGUGAGUUCCUAGAUCUGAACGAAAGCAUGUUGUGGAAUCGCUCCUGUGAGGUUCGCAAAGGAGCCUCAAAGGAGAGAAGCUACUUUGAUCUCAUCAUGGGAGAAGAGGUUUAGCAGGUGGAAUGUCAUUCCAUCAGCAGCUACGUGCUUUGUAGCAACCCUUGAGGCCCAUCAUGGAGACACCCUCUUUUCUCUGAAAGCAGUGAAUUGUUCAGCCUGAGAAAAGAACAUGAUCUUUAACGUGCAUUUGGAGUAAAUAUACCUAAAUUGUUCUCACUGUGUAAAGAUUAUUCAGUGAUUCCCAUGUUUCUCUCAGAUGGGUGUUGAAGUAUGCAUUUGGUUAGAAAGUCUUCCUAGCAAUUUGAGAUUGUAAUAUAGUUUCUUCCUUGGUAGCCACAUUUUUAUCCAUUCUAUAAUGAAAAAUUUUAAGAAACCAGAAAUUUUACAAAUGUUAGUUUAAAAUGUCAGUUAUAAGAAUUUAUAUUUUCAAAAAUAGAGUAUCUUAUAAUGAUACGCAGUCAUAUCUCCUAAAAUAACCAGAUACUCUUAAAUAUAGUUAUGUUUACUUUCCCAGUACAUAACAGAUUUAGUUCUCUAUUACCUGGCCUCCCUACCCCUCCCCUCUGCUGUGUACUGGGGCAACCACUGAUCUUCACUCACUAUAGAUUAGUUUUCAUGUCCUAGAAUUUUAUUAAAAUGGAAUCAUAAAGUUUUUUUUGUUGGUUUGGUUUUGGCCUGGCUUCUUUCAUUUGGCCUAUUUAUUUUAAAUUUGUCCGUUUUGUUGCAUGUAUCAAUAGUCCCUUCUGUUUUACUGAUCAGUAGUAUCCCAGUAUCUGGAUAUACUGCAAUUUGUUUGAAUUUUUUUUAAAUUAAAGCUUCAAUGAACAUUUGUCUAUAAGUUUUUGCAUGGACAUAUG
rnacentral:lncRNA from 1 species